UACAGAGGUGGCAAGCGUUGUUCGGAAUUACUGGGCGUAAAGGGCGCGUAGGCGGCCGCUUAAGUCAGACGUGAAAUCCCCAGGCUUAACUUGGGAACUGCGUCUGAUACUGGGCGGCUUGAGUUCGGGAGAGGGAUGUGGAAUUCCAGGUGUAGCGGUGAAAUGCGUAGAUAUCUGGAGGAACACCGGUGGCGAAGGCGGCAUCCUGGACCGAAACUGACGCUGAGGCGCGAAAGCCAGGGGAGCAAACGGG
rnacentral:rRNA from 1 species